AUGAAAGAUAACUGGUGAGACUCCCUCACGGUACUAUUUGAACAUAGUUGUUUCCCUGAGAUGGUCUCAUAAUCUUCAGUUUCACACUCCAUAUGCCACACCCAGCAAAGCUCCCUGAGUUACUCACAGUCUCCAGCCACCAGGGUACUGACUUUUACUCUGUCUCCCUCCAGCUCCUCCUGAGGAUUGCAGGAGCAUCACUUCUGAGGAUGAUGUUGAGAGUUCAUCACUCGGUGUUUAUGUGUCUUCAAAUGACCAGGCGAGCACGGUCGGACUCAGAUCCUGGACAGAGGAAGAAGAUCUGGAGGAGGAAGACCUCUAUAGAACAUCCCAGGAAAGGGCGAGAAGCUGGAUUCUGGGGAGCAACUUCAAACCCCACAAAGAUGACCCCCAAGGCCAGUAGGUUUGUGUACGCCCAUCUGACCCCAGCCAUGUAAGUAAUCAUUGAUCAAAAUGUCACUGUGCCACGACUGUACUUGAUAACAGCUGCUUACGUUAUUAAA
rnacentral:lncRNA from 13 species